GGAUCUCAAAGUAUUCUAUCUUUUAUCUUCUAUCCAUCUGCACAAGUCUCAAAUAUUUCAUCCUUUGUCAUCCACCAUCUACAUAGAUCUCAAAAUACUCCAUCUCUAUCAGUCAUCUGCCAGCAUAGGCCUUAAAAGUAAUUUAUCCUUUAUCAUAGAUCUAUUUGUACAAAUCUCAAAGCACUCCAUCUCUAUCAUUCAUUUGCCUGCAUAGAUCUCAAAGCAUCUCAUCAUUUAUCAUCUAUCCACCUGCACAGAUCUUACAGCACUCCAUCAUUUAUCAUCCAUCUAUUUGCACAAGUAUUAAAGAGCUCCAUCUCUAUUAUCCAUUC
rnacentral:lncRNA from 1 species